UGUCUUGGCAAACACCAAAAAGAAACAUUAAGGUUUUUAGAAAAAUCACUAAUAAUGGAAUAGAAAAGCUUGUGAACGAAAAAAGGCGAGCUAAAAAGGUGCGAAUGGCAGAUACAUCGCUCUCCUUCUACUCAGCUUCAACUGAAAUCUGCUGUACGUAAGUUAAAAAAAGCGCUUAAACGCGAGGAAGAAUACAGCACUGAAAAUUAUAUAAAGAACUGUGUCCAAAUUCUAGCAAGCAAAACUCUCUUUGGAAAGCCCAAAAGUCUUUUAAGCCACCGGUAGAUUCCAACAUGCCUAUAAGACAGUCAAAUGGUAAUUGGGCACGAAGUGACGAAGAUAAGGCAAAUUGUUUUGCAAAUCACCUAGAAAAGGUAUUUCAAUCAAAUUGUCCAAAGAACAAUUUUAAGUUGCCAAUCAUCCACAGUACCACAAAAGAGUCCCUUGGGUCUAUUCAACGACUUCAACUACUGAAAUUGUUAGUAUUAUAAAAGAGCUUAACCCAAAAAAAUCGUCAGUCCACGAUAAUAUUACUCCAAAAAAGCUAAUUGAGUUACCAAAUAUUGCUUUAACAGUGCUCUCCUUGCUCUUUAAUGCAAUUUUUAGUUUCGGAUCCUAUCCCAUUUUAAUGGAAAAAGUCGCAGAUAAACAUGAUAGAUAAACCCGGGAAAGACCAGACACAGCCGUCUUCAUACAGACCAAUCAGUCUUCUACCCUGUCUUUCUAAAAUAUUUGAAAAAGGUUUACUAUCAAAGACGUCUCCUUUCUUUCAUGAAAAUAAUGUAAUACCAACGCACCAUUCGAACAUAGAGAGUACUGUUCUGCUAUAUUUCUAGAUGUGGCUCAGGCGUUUGAUAAAGUGUGGCAUGAAGGACUUUUGUAUAAGAUUAAAAAAAGUUUACCUUUCCAAUUGCAUAAAACCUUGGAGUCCUAUUUAAAAAAUAGAAAAUUUGCAGUAAAAGUAGGUGAUUUUAUAUCUGAUGAACGUUCAAUAAGGGCUGGAGUACCACAGGGCAGUGUUUUAGGCCCAAUUCUAUACAUCAUAUAUACGGCUGAUCUUCCAACUGCUAAUAAUGUCUUGACAUCAACUUUUGCGGAUGACACAGUUUUAGAGUCGUAAACAAAUGCCCCAUUAUAGCAUCAAGAAUAUUAGCGAUGCACUUAAGUUCUGUCGAAGAAUGGCUAGCAAACUGGCGUAUAAAUGUAAAUGAACAAAAGUGCAAGCAUGUUACAUUUUCCCUAAGACCAAAAAUGUGCCCGGCAGUAAAAAUGAACAAUAUUCUAGUGCCUCAAGCGAAUGAAGUUACCUAUCUUGGCAUUCACCUAGAUAGAAGGCUUACGUGGAGAAAACAUAUAUCUAGUAAAAUAACGUGCAUGAAGAUAAGAGCUGCAAAUUUAAAUUGGCUUUUAAAUAAAAACUCUAAACCUAGACAACAAAGUGCUUUUAUACAAUGCGGUCAUAAAGCCGAUUUGGAUGUACGGCAUUCAACUGUGGGGUACGACCUGUGCAACAAAUAUCGAUAUAAUACAAAGGUUCCAAUCGAAAAUGCUUAGAACAAUCACAUGCUCACCAUGGUACAUGCGCAAUGAAAAUAUCCAUAAAGAUCUUAGUAUCCCUAUGGUAAAGAAAGAAGUUGAGGACAGCGGAUUGAAAUAUAUAUCUAAGAUUUUAUAACUUGUUGUUAGGCUUAAAAACAAGCAGAUUCAAUAAAUAAGGAAAUAUUGAAAAAAAAAAAUAAUCUGUGCUAAAAGAAACGACUCUAGAAAGUUUGGUUGAUAUAGCUUUAGUAGUUUACGAGAUAUGUACAAAAAACUUAGUAGGGGCGGGGCUACGCCCACUUCCCCAAAAAAAUUACGUCAAAAUAUGCCCCUUAAUAGUGCGAUCUUUUGGACCAAAUUUUUACUUUCAUAGAUUUAUUUAUGGCCUAGUUAUGGCACUUUAUGUGUUUUUUUUAGGGCGUGGCAGUGGUCCGAUUUCGUCCAUCUUCGAAAGCAACCUUCCUAUAGUGCCAAGAAACACGUGUACCAAGUUUCAUCAAAAUAUCUUAAUUUUUACUCAAGUUACAGUACACAGACGGACAGACAGACAGACAUCCGGAUUCGAACUUCACUCUUCACCCUGAUCACUUGGGUAUAUAUUACUCUAUAUCUAACUGGUUUAGUUUUGGGUGUUACAAAUAAUCGUUAUAUGAACAAAACUAUUACACUCUCUUAGCAACUUUGUUUUUUUGGAGAGUUUUUUUGUAGAGUAUAAAAAUCUCUCCAGUCGAGACAAAACCAGAGCUGUCCGAAGUUUGGCCUUUGGCGGCGCUUUAAGUCGAAUAUCUAUAAUAUAUAUCUAUAUUUUUUAAUCAGGCGUUCCUCUUUCCAACGGUAUUUUCAGAUUCCGUCGCCAAAGAAAUCGGAAGUGUGCCUUACGUGGUAUUACAACUUAAAAAUGAAUCAAUAUGAUAUUGAAUUAAUUGUUAUUCAAGAUCUUUUAAACUGAAGUAAAUGAAUGACAGUAAAAAUUCAGUUGACUUUUUUAAUAACAAACAAUCAAUUAAUUAAUUGCCCGUAUAUUAUCGUUUAUAUCAAAUUCUAAUUAGAUUAAACAUUCACAAUUUUAGUUUUCAUCGUUAUUAACCUCAGAAAAAUUGAUAUUUGUGCAACAAUUUUUUUUGCAAUUCUCAAAAGAAAAAAACAAUUGCUUAAUUCUAAGUAUGCAGUUAUGUUUAUUAAUGCUUUAUCUCUGUUUGCCCCACAAAACAUAGACGACAAUACUAUUGAAAAUAUAGAAACAACUAACGAGAAUAUCAAGAUUGAGAUUAUGAACAAAGAUGUUAUACAAAAUUAUGUAAAUACUGCUAAAGUAAUGUGGCAUCGAAAAAUAAGCGUACUGGACCAAAAUUUUCGAUAAAUGAACGUACCAAAUGGCCUAUUCGCAAGUUGGCUACUCAGUCUAUAAGUGCCAAGAGAACGUCUACAACAAAUUUUGAAAGGAGACUUAAAUCUUAAAUAUGAAUGCAAAGUUAUACCCUUUAUAAUCUUCACAAAAACACAUGCAUCCUUUUUCGAAAAAUACAAAUUCUAAGAAGUAGAGUUUCAAAAUUUGAUAUUUAGUGAUGAGGAAACAUCAAAUUUAGAUGAAUAAUAAGUAUUGGAGGGAUCUACGGCACCCUCGCCAUAAUUACUAUAACCGCAAACAUGGCGGUGAAUCUCUAAUGUUGUGGGCUGCUCUUAGCACCAAAGAGAAGUCUUCCAUUUUCCCUGUCCCGAGUCGUAUGAAAGCCAAAUUUAUAUGGAAUUGCUGGACAUUGAAUUUAUCACGUUUUCUAACGCUUAUCAUGGCGACAACUGGGUGUUCCAGCAGGUUAACGCGCAUAUCCACGUCGCUGGGUAUCCUGAAUCCCUUUUUAAGUCGCGUAAUAUUCCCUAACUUAGGUGUCCGUCAUUAAGUCUAGAUCUGAAUUAAAUAGAGGAUUUAUGGGACAUACUUUCCCCAACAUUUUUUAGCUGAACAAAGCAGUAUGACAGCUGAAACAAACUAUUGAGGAGGAAUGGGCGAAGAUAAAGUUUCAGUACCGUAAAAGUUGGGCAAUUCUAUGACAAAUUGGCUAAAACUUUUGAAAAACAAGAACGGGGCCCAAUUUCAUAUUAAUAAUUCGAAAACAUUUCAUUCAAAUUGUAUACAUAUUUAAAAGUUAAUACUUAACUAAAACUUUUAAUUUUGCACAAAUAACUAUUUUCUAUGAUAUAAAAUGCAGUUUUAUUAAUUUGGUUACUUUUUCUUUUAGAAUGGUAUAUGUUUCUUUAAAUACUACUUACUAACAUCUGACAAAAAAAAAUCAAACAUCAAUAUAAUAUGCAGAGGUUGAAUAAAAAUUGAGAAAAAUAACAGUGCACAAAUAUCAAUUUUCUUGAGGUAUUUAUUGAAUAUUUAAUUUUAAUAAACAAAAAUUAUUAAAGAGAACAAAAUCAAAGCAAAUGCUCAAAGCAGCCCAGAUUUACAUAUUCAUUCAACAGCUGUUUCUACAUCUGAUGUGUCCUAGCUGCUGCUACCGAAAAUUCCACCAGCAGAAACUAGCAGCGCUCAUGCGAUUAGCUGACGCUCUCUUCUGCUAUUUUUUUGAGUAAAGAAACACUUUUCCAGCAGAAACUUGACAAAUUAUCACUAGAUAGUAAACUGACAUUAUGCAACUGUAUACCAAAUUUUACGUAAUACCGGAUUGAUAUCAAGGGCUUUUCAUCUUUUCUUUAUUUACUAAUAUUUAUUUUCAAUUUAUGUGAAUUUGUAAUUUUAUCCCACAAAAAAUUUUUUUUUAACUUUUUAAUAAUCAUAUUAUAAUUUUAAGAUUUACAAUUCACAUGAAAUUCACUUACGAGUAAACUGUAAAAAUAAUCGAAUUCUAUAUUCCAAAGGAAUGGGAUUUUUCGAGGUAUCAAAUCGGUCACAUUUAUAUUUUUCAGUUAUUUUACAAAUUAAGAUUUUUAUGAAAGGAUUUUCUAAUAUUUCCUUUGAAAAUUAUUCAUCCAUUUUCAAGAAAUUCAGUAAUUCGUUAAAUCUCGAAUUCACUUAAUAUUUGAAAAAUGAUGGCGAUAAUAGUAAAUGGUUUAUAUAUAGUGAAAAUAAAACUAUAAAAUAAGUUCCAUGUGGAAGUAGAGCAUUUUAAACGACAGCAAAAUAAAAAAACCUGUCAUAAUAUUCAAAUAUCCAGUCUAAAUACCGCUCUUCGGACAACCAUAGGUUGACACUUGAUGUUUCCAGUCAAGCACCUUCAUAAUGAGGCCCACAUGCUACGUGUGAAGGAUCAUAACGACAAACUGAGUAUAUGACCACACCUCAUUACAUGCCCCUUAAACCCCACUCUUCCAACUCCCCUUUCCCUUUGGUCCAGCCCUGUCGAAAAACCUCGUUUCGGCUUACCGCUUCAGGAAGGUUUGAGAAAUCCUACAACAACAGCAAUAUGAAACGUGCUGAUUAUUCGCGAAUUGCGAAAGGAUCGCAUAAAAAUGGCAACGAAAUCUGUCGGUUUUUGGACAGAAAAGGGAUUUCCUAAAAGAAGCCCCUGCUCUCAGAUCGCAAUCGAAAACAUCAUUUGGAGAUCGCUUUAAAAUACAUUAGACAACAAGUGAAUAGAAAAGUGAAACUGUUUUCUGCGGAAACAAAAUCGGAUCGGAAAGAACCGAGGUACACUACAACAACUGAUGUAUGGAAACGCCGAUGUAAUGUUGGGAAUACAAUGUGAUGGUCCGGUAUUGAGUCUAUAUUCUAUAUUGAGGGACAAACUGGCAAAUUUAAGUACAUAUAGAUUAUGAACGAUUUAUGAUUUUUGCCCAUUUUUCUAAUAUGCCCGUAAUAUGGAUUUACUAGCGGGAUAAUGAUCCAAAACACACAACCACUAAGCAGUAAUUUCACCACUAUUUGGUGACAGUUUUAGAUUGACCGUCUUGAAAUUCAGAUGUAAACCCUAUCGAAACCUAUUAGUCUCACCUGAAAAAGUACGGUCGUCUAAAAAAAAAUGUAGACGAAUGGAAACCGAGUGGAAAACUAUUCCACAGAAUUUCGCCAUAAAAAAAUAGAGUCAAUUUUAAGCACUGAAUACACUUGCAGACUUGUCUGUACUACAUGUCAUGUAUGGCAUACCGUCGCAUCGUGUAAAGCCUGGUCUGUACACCAAAUUUUAGGUCUGCAUGCAAGUAUGCACAAAAUUGAAAUGUUUCAAUUUUUCUGCUCGUCGUUGCGACGGGUAGCAAAGUGUAUUGUGUGAUACGCAGACCGAUCUCAUUCUUGCUUCAUUUUUGCAGUGGAAGGUUGUGUACGCAUCAUGGCGCGACACGAUAUUUCGAAAAUUUAUGAAGCGAUUUUGUUCAAAUUUUGCACAUUUCUUUGCAAUAACAUUAUGUAGUUAAUGAACUAAGGAUUAUAUAUAUUUUUUAUUACAAAUGUUUUUUUGAGCCAAAAUAAGCCGAAAAUUUUAGUUUUUUUUUGUUAAAAAUUUGUAAAAAAUUUAAAUUUUAAUAUAAUUUUUUUCCUUCGAUCAUUAACUAGAUUUAUCCAUUUACUGUCGAAAUAUCUUUGGUUUUUUGAUUUUAAUAUUAAGGUAUAAUGUCCACGGCAAGAGCCUUUUUUGGACACAUAAUCGGAGAUGAAGUACCAACGGCUGGGAUUUCGAAAUUUUUUAAUAAAAAUUUAAAUAAAACAACCCUUAAAGUCUUAUGAAACUCCUACGGGAGAGAAUUCAGUAAACCAAAAUCGUUGCUUUCGUUUUUUUAUAUUCUCGCAACAAAAGUUGCUAAGAGAGUAUUAUAGUUUUGUUCACAUAACGGUAAAACUAAACGAGUUAGAUAUAGAGUUAUAUAUAUAAAAAUGAUCAGGGUGACGAGACGAGUCAAAACCGUGAGAGGGUUGCUUUCAAAAAUGGGCAAAAUCUGACCACUGCCCCGCCCACAAAAUUGCGAAAACCGAAAACACAAAAAGUGUCAUAACUAAGCCAUAAAUAAAGUUAUUAAAGUAAAAUUUGGAGCAGAUGAUCGCACUAGGAAGGGGCAUAUUUGGAUGUAAUUUUUUUGGGAAAGUGGGCGUGGCCCGCCCCCAAAUCGGCUAUUUGUAUAUAUCUCGCAAACCAAUAAAGCUAUAUAAACCAAACUUUCUGCAGUCAGUUCUCUUACUUACCCCACCACACACCAUGAAAUUAGUUGAAAUCGGAUAAUAACCACGCCCACCUCCCAUACAAAGGUUAGGUUGAAAAUUACUUAAAGUGAGUUAACUCAGUAACGAAAAACGCCAGAAACACUAAAUUUUACAUAAGAAAUGGCAGAUGGAAGCUGCACUCAGAUUGUUUUUACAAAAUGGAAAAUGGGCAUGGCAUCGCCCACUUAUGAAUCAAAAACCAUAUCUCAGGAACUACUCGACCGAUUUCAAUGAAACUUGGUUUGUAAUAGUUUCCUUGCAUCCCAAUGAUAUAUUGUGAAAAUAGGCCAAAUCGCUUCACAACCACGCCUACUUCCUAUAUACCAGAACUUUGAAGAAUCUGAAUUGUAAACUUUGCAAUAUAUAAAGUAAGCACUAGUGAAGAUAUCGAUGCAGAACUUUGCACAAAUACUACGUUUAUAGUGUGGCAGUCCCAUUCUAAAAAUCGCCGAAAUCGGAACAUAGGUUUUCAAGGCCCCAUUAAUCGAACAUGAGGACCUCGGUGCUUCUAACCUAAUAUUAUGGUUUCCAACUUUCAAUGGACUUUAACAAUAUAUAUGACGAAUAUAUGGGUCAAAUUGUAUAUUAUAUAAUAUAAAUAAAGUUAAAUAAAUAAAUUGCGAGAGUAUAAAAUGUUCGGUUACACCCGAACUUAGCCCUUCCUUACAUGUUGCUUUUCAUUUUCAGCGCAUCCCGAAAUUACAAGCAGCGCCACAAUUGCAUCAUCCGAUGCCAUAACGUCCGCUCACUUCAAAGAUUGCAACGAAAUGAUGUAUGAACAACUUGUCGCAUAAGUGUACAGUGAACUGACUUGCGACCCGGUAUGCAUACAAGUCUGCAAUUGUAUUCACUGCUUUACGCAGAUGUCAAACCGGGCACAAUACCGAUUACUUUGGCGAUCGGGGUUUGACAAAGAAUUCCGGUAUAAAUGUGAUAUCGGAAAGAGGAGGCUCUACAGAGAAUAAAUAUAUAUAAAUAUUGUUUAUGUUUGAAAUAUUUUUAUUUAAAUGCCUAAUUUGUUUCUAUAAGUACCACAUGGUAUUUCAAUAUGUUUAAUACACACAUCACAUUUUUCACUUCACAUAUUGAAAAUUACACUGUUAACAAUCAAUUAAAUUCAAAUUUUUCAUUUCUUUAAGGCUUUUUAAGCAAAAAUUACUUAUUUUAUAAAUCACUUUGCACAUUAAUAGCUGAACAUGUUUCUGUGUUUACAAUUAUGUGGAAACCGAUCGGUGCCACUUCUUAGAAACUACAUGUGAACGAUUUUGCAACACUGCGUUUUGUUUAUUUUCUUUUCGUAGAACUUUUUUCUGAAUCAAAAUCAUCAAAAAUGUAUAUAAACAAGUAAGGAAUUGCUAAGUUCGAGUGUAACCGAACAGUUUAUACUCUCGCAUAUUAUUUAUUUAAUUUUAUUAAAUAACACACAUAUUCGUCAUACAUAUAGUAUAAAGUCCAUUGAAAGUUGGAAACCCUAAUAUGGGAGCUAGGGGAAGUUAUGAUCCGAUUUCACCCACGGAGUCAUAUUAUAAGAGGAAAAAUAUUCCCUAAAAAUGUCUUCAAAAUAUCUGAGAGGCUUACCUACAUUUUCGGUUAAAAUAUAAUAUAAACACUGAUUCAGAUCGACAUCAAAUUUCUGGUAUAUGGGAAGUAGGCGUGGUUGAGAACCGAUUUGGCCUAUUUGCACAACAUCAUCAUUGGAAUGCAAGGAAAAUAUCAAAAACCGAAUUUCAUUGAAAUUGGUCGAGUAGUUUCGAAGAUAUGGUUUUUGACCCAUAAGUGAGCGGAGCUCAGUAAAAUUUGGAACAAAGUAUCGCCCUAUGAAGUGCCAUAUUUUGACGUAAUAUUUUUGGGGAAGUGGGCUUGGCCCCGCCCCCUACUAAGUUUUUUGUACAUAUCUCGUAAACUACUUGAGCUAUAUCAACGAAACUUUCUAGAAUCCCAUACAAAGAUUAUGUUGAAAACUACUAAAAAUUUUAAGUCCGCCCACUUAUGGGUUAAAAACCAUAUCUCCGAAACUACUCGACCAAUAUCAAUGAAACUUGGUUUGUAAUAUUUUCCUUACCAUUUCCCAUUGAUAUGUUGUGGCCAAAUCGGUUCACAACCACGUCUAUUUUACAAUAUGUAUAGUAGGCACUAGUGAAGAUAUCGGAACAGAACUUUGCAUAAAUGCUGCAUUUAUAGUGUGGCAGCCCCUUUCUGAAAAAUCGGAACAUUUUGGUUUUUAAGGCCCCAUAUACCGAAAUUGAGGACCUCGGUGCUUCUAACCUAAUAUUAGGGUUUCCAACUUUCAAUGGACUUUAUACAAUAUAUUAUAUAUGACUUAGCCCUUCCUAUUAAUUUAUUUUGUUAAAUAAAAAAGAUAAAUUUUGGGAAAAUCAGAUGAAUUUUUGCGACAUUCCCCAUAUAUGGUGUCUACAACACAUAAAUCUUGUGAAAAGUGAUUUUUUAAAUCGUGUUAACGUGUGUGAAAUUUUUGUUGAAAUAUUUGAUCUUUAAAGCCGAAUAUCUCGAAAACUAGGCGUCUGCGUUACCUAUAAUCUACAUCUAUAUUUUUCAAUCCUUUAAUUAAAUUUUCUCAGCAUGGAUUUUGCAAAGGGAAAUCUACAGUAACAAACUUGCUUGAAUUUGUAAACCAUGUGUCAAUGGGUUUUAGGGAUAAUAAGAAUACUGAUGUUAUAUAUACAGACUUUAGUAAAGCAUUCGAUAGAGUAAACCACUCAAUUCUUUUGCAACAACUGGAUCUUCUUGGUUUUCAACCAAUACUUCUUGAAUGGGUGUCCUUAUAUCUUACUAACAGAAAACAACAAGUUUUAUUUAAUGAUACAUUAUCCGAUUCUAUUAGUGUCACUUCAGGGGUUCCACAGGGUAUUCAUCUCGGCCCGAUUCUGUUCUUUUUGUUCAUCAAUUAAGUUUUCAGAAAUUUUAUUAUAUGCGGAUGAUGUAAAACUUUUUAAAUCAUAUACUUCUUAUAAUUCUCCUUUUUUUAAUUCUCAUGUAAAUUCAAUUGUCUUAAAAGCUAAAGGUGCUCUUAGCUUUGUUAAACGUUGGUCUAAAGAAUUUAGUGAUCCGUAUAUUACUAAAAUUCUUUUUACAAAAUUGGUAAGGCCUAUAUUGGAGUAUGGUUCUGUGGUAUGGAAUCCUAGCUAUCAAUCCCAUUCUGAUAAGCUUGAGUCCGUUCAAAAACAAUUUUUACUUUUUGCUUUAGGCCACUUACAUUGGGAUUCAAGAUUGAAUCUUCCCCCGUAUACUAGUCGUUUAAAACUUAUAAAUCUUCCCACACUCACUAGUUGCAGAGAAAUGCUAGGUAUAUCUAUUGUCUGAUAUUAAGUUUAAUGUCCCAUUGCGUUCAACUAGGAAGUUUAGACCAUUACAUCUAAAGUCUUCUAGAACAAAUUUUGAGUUAAAUGAACCAUUCCGCCGAAUAUGUCAGGAUUUUAAUUCUCAUUCCAGCAUAUUUGAUCCAUCUGAUCCAUCUCAAUAUUUAGCAUCAAAAAAAAUAUUUUGUCUUCUCUUAAUAAGUAAUAUUCAGAAAUUUUUAACUUUUUGUUUUCAUAAAUUUUUAAAUCUCAGCUGUUGAAAUGUUUCUUUCUGUAGUUGAGCAGUUUGAGAACUGGACGCUUAAAAAUCUCUUGCCUUUCUAGACUCGGCAAAUUCCGCUCGUAUGCGGACUGCGCCCCACGCGUCGGUUGGGCGGGAGGAGGGUAAUCGUUUGGGUUUAUUAUUAUUAUGUUUAUCAAUUAUAAUCUGCAUAGUUUUAAUGUUUCACUUAUAUACACAAUAAACAGUAUUGGCCCCAGAAUUGAUCCAUGUGGUAUUCCUUUUUUUCACCAAUCUAUUGUCCUUCCAUUCCUUCUAGUUCUUAGAUAGUUCAUUUCAAUUUAACUUCUCUGGUCCCAAAUUUAUAAAUGCGUUUUUUUUAACAAAGUCUUUAUUUAUUAUGUGAAAGGUCUCUUAAAGUCUAAAAAACUACCAUAAUUUUGUUUACUUGUCCCACCUUCCUUCUAUUCAUUAAAUGUAUAAUUUAAUAAUAAUAUUUGGAAUAAAGGGCAUUAUCGUACAAAUAUUCCAUCAGCUAUUGUUUAACAACUGAAUUAUUCCACCUUCUUUGCUCAUUUUGAUCAUUAUUGAUUGGUAUUAUUUUUAAUAAGCUUUUAUUAGCUUCACUUGUAUGUAUGUAUGUAUGUUUGUAACUUUUUCCAGUACUGACACUGCAUGAAGGUGAUCAAAAGUGUGAACAACUCACCAAAGAGAUGCGCUUAAAAGUAUACAACAUACAUAUGUAUUAAACUGCUGCACAAGCAGGCUUAUUCCUUGUUUCAAGUCAUUCGUAAUUUAACAUGACAAUGCAAUGUUUUU